rnacentral:rRNA from 1 species
UACGAAGGGGGGCUAGCGUUGUUCGGAUUUACUGGGCGUAAAGCGCACGUAGGCGGAUCGUUAAGUCGGGGGUGAAAUCCUGGAGCUCAACUCCAGAACUGCCUUCGAUACUGGCGAUCUCGAGUCCGGAAGAGGUGAGUGGAACUCCUAGUGUAGAGGUGGAAUUCGUAGAUAUUAGGAAGAACACCCGUGGCGAAGGCGGCUCUCUGGGACGGUACUGGACGCUGAGACGCGAAAGCGUGGGGAGCGAACAGG